rnacentral:rRNA from 1 species
GUAGUCUCGCACAGAUGCAUAUCAAUAAGCGGAGGAAAAGAAACUAACAAGGAUUCCCCUAGUAACGGCGAGUGAAGCGGGAAGAGCUCUAAUUUGAAAUCUUAAAGGGUUUCCCUUUACGAAUUGUAGUUUAAAGAAGUGUUUUCUGUUGAGGUUUUGGUAAAAGUUCUUUGGAAUAGGACAUCAUAGAGGGUGAGAAUCCCGUAUUUGACCUUUACUUUCAACUUUGUGAUACACUUUCAAAGAGUCGGAUUGUUUGGGAAUGCAGUCCAAAAUGGGUGGUAAAUUUCAUCUAAAGCUAAGUAUUGGCGAGAGACCGAUAGCGAACAAGUACCGUGAGGGAAAGAUGAAAAGAACUUUGAAAAGAGAGUUAAACAGUACGUGAAAUUGUCAAAAGGGAAGCGUUUGACACCAGUGUUGUUUUUCUGAAAAUCAAUUAAAGAACUGUUUAUGCUAAGCUGUUUAGACUUUAUCAGCUAUCUGUUUAGUUUUGAGCUUUUCUUUAAUGCACUUUUCAGUUAACAAGUCAACAUCAAUUUCUUUUGCUGUAAAAAAGCUUGAGGAAGGUGGCUUGAGAUUCGUCUUAAGUGUUUAUAGCCUCCUGCCUAUGCAGUCGGAGAGAUUGAGGUCUGCAGCGUAGAUCCUUCGGGGCUAAAUGCAUUUGUGCUAAGUUAUAGCAUUUCAUAGACAACUUGUUGACUAUGAUUUGUCUUGUAGCUUACUCGCUUAUGUUAUUUUACCUACGCUUAGGAUGUUGACAGCAGUAUAGACUGU